rnacentral:rRNA from 1 species
UACGGGGGGGGCAAGCGUUGUUCGGAAUUACUGGGCGUAAAGGGCUCGUAGGUGGCCAACUAAGUCAGACGUGAAAUCCCCAGGCUCAACUUGGGAACUGCGUCUGAUACUGGAUGGCUUGAAUUCGGGAGAGGGAUGCAGAAUUCCAGGUGUAGCGGUGAAAUGCGUAGAUAUCGGGAGGAACACCUGUGGCGAAGGCGGCCCCCUGGUUGGAUACUGACGCUGAGACGCGAAAGCGUGGGGAGCAAACAGG